UCCCUGGUGGUCCAGUGGCUAAGACUCUGCUUGCAAUGCAAGUGGUCUGGGUUCAAUCCUUGGUCAGGGAA
rnacentral:tRNA from 1 species